rnacentral:rRNA from 1 species
GCUUCGGCGGCNCGGCUCCCCUCACGGGGUACCGCAGCCCCCGCCUCUUCGGAGGUACGGGGCACCCGCCGGAGGUACGAAACUCUGUAUUAUAGUGGCAUCUCUGAGUAAAAAACAAAUAAGUUAAAACUUUCAACAACGGAUCUCUUGGUUCUGGCAUCGAUGAAGAACGCAGCGAAAUGCGAUAAGUAAUGUGAAUUGCAGAAUUCAGUGAAUCAUCGAAUCUUUGAACGCACAUUGCGCCCGCUAGUACUCUAGCGGGCAUGCCUGUUCGAGCGUCAUUUCAACCCUCAAGCUCUGCUUGGUGUUGGGGCUCUACGUCUGACGUAGGCCCUGAAAGGAAGUGGCGGGCUCGCUACAACUCCGAGCCGUAGUAAUUCAUUAUCUCGCUAGGGAAGUGUGGCGUGCUCCUGCCGUUAAAGACCCCAUCUUUAACCAAGGUUGACCUCGGA